rnacentral:sRNA from 1 species
GUGGAAGAAUUUUAGGAGAAGGGGCAGACAUGGCAAGUGAGAGUGGCAGGCAACACACUACCUUUUCAGCAGAAUCAAGUCGAAGCCUUUUGAUCUGUCUACUUUGGGUUCUCAAAAAUGCAGAUGAAACAGUUCUACAGAAGUGGUUUACAGAUCUCUCAGUCUUGCAGCUAAACCGGCUAUUGGAUCUACUUUAUCUCUGUGUGUCUUGCUUUGAGUAUAAAGGGAAAAAAGUGUUUGAACGAAUGAAUAGCUUGACCUUUAAGAAAUCAAAAGACAUGAGAGCAAAGCUUGAAGAAGCUAUUCUUGGGAGCAUAGGUGCCAGGCAAGAAAUGGUACGGCGAAGCCGAGGACAGCUCGAGAGAAGCCCAUCUGGAAGUGCCUUUGGAAGUCAAGAAAAUUUGAGGUGGAGAAAAGAUAUGACUCACUGGCGUCAAAACACAGAGAAGCUUGACAAAUCAAGAGCAGAGAUUGAACACGAAGCACUGAUUGAUGGAAACCUGGCUACAGAAGCAAACCUAAUCAUUUUAGAUACAUUAGAGAUUGUUGUUCAGACCGUUUCUGUAACGGAAUCCAAAGA